ensembl:lincRNA Gm14342 predicted gene 14342
AUGAAAACCCAGGGAGUGAAACUCAUCGUGGCCCCCCGGGGUCCUCCAGAAACCCCACCUGGGCCUUCAACACUGCAUAGACUUGGAGAGCCAGCGUGAAAAUCCUGGGGAACAUUCAAGCUGCAUGCAAACUACAGCACAGAACAGUUGUGUUCCUGUGGACCACUGAAGAACAGUUUGAGUAAAAUUUAACCAAGGAGGGACUUGGGAANGGGAACCUGGUGAGGUGCUGCACAGCAUGCUAGAGUCACCCUGGCCAAGGUUCAGAGGUUCAGUCCAGUAUCAUCAAGGUGGGAACAUGGCAGUAUCCAGGCAGGAGGAGAUGAGAGUUCUACAUCUUCAUCUGAAGGCUGCCAGCAGAAUACUGGCUCCUAGGCAGCUAGGACAACAAGGGUCUUACAGCCCACACCCACAGUGACACACUUACUCCAACAAGGCCACACCUUCUAAUAGUGCUACUUCCUGGGCUGAACCAACCAUCACAGGGUCUGUGUUGAUGUCCUUGGCUCAUGUACCACCAAAGGUCAUGUAGAUGUCCCUGAUCUGGGCUGCUACCUGAUACCACAUUGAUGUCUGAGCAUUGUGCUGAGCUGGCCACACCCUUUUCCUAGGCAGCAUGUGAGAGCUGGCUGUGGUGGCGUGGGUUCAGGAGAGCUGUCUCUGCCUCUCACCAGCUGCAACACUCCAGAGAGCUGGCUCAGCCACUUGUCUACUAUGUCCUGGUAUGGGUGAGGGAGAGCUGCGCUCUCCCCUUCUCACCCCUCACUGCCUGAAGCAGGCAAGAGAGCUGUUCCUGGCCCUCACCAGCUGCAGCACUUGAGAGAGCCGACUCUGCAGCUCUCCUGGGCACACAGUAGAACUGGCCCUGGUGGCAGGAGCUCAUGUGAGCUGGCUCCGAGGAUAUGAGAGAAGGAGAUCCGGAGCUCACCCUGGUGAUAUGGGUGCAGGAGACCUAGAAGGCUGACCACUCAGGCCCAGAUCCAGGGCUUUGAGUUGGCCCACCCCAACCCAGCAUCUACCCCAUCUAUGAAAUGAUACAAUACAUGAAGGGGCCAUUUCUGCAGACCCAAAGCUGUAGGAUCUCCAUGACACAGGGCAACAUGGAAUAUCCAAGAAGACUUCCAGUGAGGAUCCAGAAUUGAUAGCGUAGCAGAAGCCAGAGGCCUCGCACCAGACAAAUUACUCAUUGCAAUGAACAUUUGCAAAUAAAGAUGUGUGGACAAAAGGGUGUGCUGUGUGACACACUGUGACAUACUACAGCUUCCAUGACAAGAUUUUGUUUUAAUUAUUUUCUUUGUUGGGGGUGGGGUUGAAAAGGUGGAGGGCAGAUACAGAGGGACAGGGAGUGAGUGGGACUGGGGUGCAUGGUGUGAAAUUCACAAAGAAUCAGUAAAAAGUUUUGUUGCGUUUUUUUUUUUAAAGCAUCCCAGUACGUUUGUCAUGAAAGUCGCUAACACAGAGAAAAUAUUCCUCUUAUGAGAGAUGCUUUAAAUACAACUGCUAAGGCAGCAGCNAGCAUGUUUGCAUAUGCUAAGCAAGCAUGGCCUUUCUCUUUCCCUGCUUCUCUAGGAAUUUCCCAAGGAGCCUCAUUUACAGUAAAUACCUGUCCUAGCCCCUUUGUGCAAUUCAUGCAGUGUACGGUUUUACCUUGUCAGACAGCAGUCCUAAGGAAGGCACCUCAAGAGCCGUCUUAUAAUCACACUUACUGAAAAGGGUGAAAAAGAGAUUAAAAAAGAAAAUGAAAAUUCUAACUAAUCCCUUGAGAUGUGCUUCAAAAAAAACUACCAAAAUCAUAUGCUUGGCUACUGUAUAAAGACACACAGGCUAGUCUCUUAAGGAGCCUACACCCAUACUUGGGUGUGCCUUGAUNUUUUUUCUGAAUACUCUAGUUCUAUUAAAACUUUUGCUUGAAUUUAUAUUAAAAUAGCUUCCUAGCUCUGC